ncrna:unclassified sequences PhotoRC-II RNA
CAUCCAAUGCAAACUGCUCUCAAACCGAGACCUAUAGGCAGUCUAAUACUUCGUCUCUCAUAUCCUGUAGCGAGGGGUUACAGGAAAUAAGUUUCGCAU